GAUGAACGCUGGCGGCGUGCCUAAUACAUGCAAGUCGAGCGAACAGAUGAGGAGCUUGCUCCUCUGACGUUAGCGGCGGACGGGUGAGUAACACGUGGAUAACCUACCUAUAAGACUGGGAUAACUUCGGGAAACCGGAGCUAAUACCGGAUAAUAUAUUGAACCGCAUGGUUCAAUAGUGAAAGACGGUUUUGCUGUCACUUAUAGAUGGAUCCGCGCCGCAUUAGCUAGUUGGUAAGGUAACGGCUUACCAAUGCAACGAUGCGUAGCCGACCUGAGAGGGUGAUCGGCCACACUGGAACUGAGACACGGUCCAGACUCCUACGGGAGGCAGCAGUAGGGAAUCUUCCGCAAUGGGCGAAAGCCUGACGGAGCAACGCCGCGUGAGUGAUGAAGGUCUUCGGAUCGUAAAACUCUGUUAUUAGGGAAGAACAAAUGUGUAAGUAACUAUGCACGUCUUGACGGUACCUAAUCAGAAAGCCACGGCUAACUACGUG
rnacentral:rRNA from 1 species